GAGACGGGUCAUUAAGGAGCAGGUAGGGGUUAGACAGUACAGAGACGGGUCAUUAAGGAGCAGGUAGGGGUUAGACAGUACAGAGACGGGUCAUUAAGGAGCAGGUAGAGGUUAGACAGUAGACAUUACCACUGGACAAUCAGACAGCCGGUAACACCAGAGGGAAACUUGGUUUAAAAAUCUUUAUUCCUUCACUUAGACAAAACAAAAGAAAUAAAUCGAUAAAGAGUCCAACCGUAAUAAAUAAGUUGAAGGUUCGGCUCCUGAGCAGAGGCCCUGAGGCUCAGAGGCCCUGAGGCUCAGAGGCCCUGAGCUCCUUGGCACCGACGUUUGAAGUGAAGCGCAGGUGGAGGUCCGCCCUGAGGCCCGGCCCGGGUCCCCCCUCAGACCGGUCAGAGUCCUGGACCCUGGGGCCCCGGGUCCUGGUCCCUGAAGCCCUUGGUCCUGGUCCCGGAGCCCCCCGACCCGGUAUAAAGGUCUAACCAGCUCUGGGCGGCGGCGGGGGGAGGAGUCUGACCCUGAAUACGACGGCGCUGCAUCACCCAACCUCCGACACAUGGGUCUGUACUUCCUGUGAGGGCGGAGCUUGUCCCCGAAGACCGUGCUGGGCCCCUCCCCCCCCUCCCACAGCUCUGUGGUCGUCGGGGGCGACUGGUGGGGCAGGGGUCAGCACCCUCGGGGUCCGGAACCAGGGUCCGGCCCCCCGAGCCUGGCCGGCCCUUUAUUUGGCAGGUGUGGGAAAGCCUGGUGUUGCGGAUGAGAGCAUAAUUGAGCAACAGUCCAUCGUGGCUACGUGUCCACACGGGGCUGGUGUGGUGUGGUGUGGAGCCCCCCCCAGGGCCCCCCCCGGGACCAGGUAGAGGAACCCCGGUUCCUCCACUAGGGAUUUACAAACCACUCAAACAUAGAAAAGUAAAAACACACACAAGGCCGUUUAGUUUAAAAGUCUCAAGUAGACAAAACCAGGUCAAGGUCAGAGGUCAGAGGAGGAGCCUGGACCACCGGAGGGAUACAUACACAGUUAUAUACAUAUAUAUAUAUAUAUACACAAUAAUUACAUAUGUACACAUACACACAUAUGUAUACACAUGUGUGUGUAUAUACAUACACAAAUGUAUACAUAUAAGUUAACAUAUGUAUACAUACAUAUAUACACACACAUUAUUAUAUGAUAUAUAUAGAUAUAAAUAUAGAUAUAUCUGAU
ensembl:lncRNA